CGUGAGAUAGAAUUAUGUUCAGCCUGGAGGGACAGAAACCCACAAUAUGGCUGAAACAAGGCUAACACUGAUGUUCUCUUGUGAAUGUAGCCAAUCCGGGGCUGGUGUGGUAGCUCCUCAGUUCUCCAAGACCCAGGCUCCUGCUCUGGUCUUGACUUCGUCACACGUAGGUGGAAUCACAGUUACAUCAGGAUCUCAGGAUGAGGCUCAAGCAUUGUGUUAUAUUUCUGGAUAUACUGUAGUUUGUCAAUGCUCUUCCUAAAAUGUGGGGCCCAGGGCUGGCCCCAACUCUGUUCCAUGGCAGUGAGCACUGUGAGGACAGGGACUGUGUCUGUUCACAGGUGGGGCCAGCUCCACCUCCAGCCAUCAUGUCUGUAUUCUGCCAGGGGGCAGGAGCAAAGGGGAAAAGAAUGACUCUCCCCUUGAGGACACUUUCCAGAAUGGUCACCAUUUCUGCUUACAGCCCAGUGGCCAGAACUCAGUCAAAAGACCACAUCCAGCCUCUGAGAAAUAGUCUAUACUUUGAGCAGCCGUGUGCCCAGUUAAAAUUCAGAGGUAGUUUUGCUGAGGAAGAAUGGAAAUAGAGGGCCACAGGCUGGCUUUGCCAAAUUAUAGCUAAAACAUACUCACCUACAACUUAAAAAGCAUCACUUCAGGGGCUCUGGGUUCAGUUAAAAAGGCAAAGAUGCCAGUAGAUAUUUGUUUUCUAGGCCUGCCGUAACAGCACCACAAACUGAGUGGCUUGAACAUCAGAAACAUUGUCUCACAGUUGUGGAGGCUAGAAGUCUGAGAUCAAGGAAAGAAAGCAUGAUGAUGAUAUUCAGCAAGGAAGGCCCACUAUGUGCCUCAUGACUUUCAAAAGAAUUACGAAGCAGCUGGGGAGACAACACUGAAGAGGACAGAAUUAAACAACACAGCAGUGAGGACAAACAGAAUGUCACUUGUGUGUGGCGAGGAUAGGGCAGGCCGGUGUGAAGUGGAACUCUCCAUUCACAAGACCAGCGAGCAGUCUGGAAUAUAUUUAAGAUAGUGUUGUGUUGAUUCAUCACUGAGAACAUUCUUUUUUAAAAAUUUACUUUAUUGAGGUCACGUUGGUUUAUAACAUUAUAUAAAUUUCAGAUGUGCAUCAUUAUAUUUCAACUUCUGUAUAAACUGCAAUCAUGCCC
rnacentral:lncRNA from 1 species